rnacentral:rRNA from 1 species
GAUGAACGCUGGCGGCGUGCCUAAUACAUGCAAGUCGAGCGAACGGACGAGAAGCUUGCUUCUCUGAUGUUAGCGGCGGACGGGUGAGUAACACGUGGAUAACCUACCUAUAAGACUGGGAUAACUUCGGGAAACCGGAGCUAAUACCGGAUAAUAUUUUGAACCGCAUGGUUCAAAAGUGAAAGACGGUCUUGCUGUCACUUAUAGAUGGAUCCGCGCUGCAUUAGCGAGUUGGUAAGGUAACGGCUUACCAAGGCAACGAUGCAUAGCCGACCUGAGAGGGUGAUCGGCCACACUGGAACUGAGACACGGUCCAGACUCCUACGGGAGGCAGCAGUAGGGAAUCUUGCGCAAUGGGCGAAAGCCUGACGGAGCAACGCCGCGUGAGUGAUGAAGGUCUUCGGAUCGUAAAACUCUGUUAUUAGGGAAGAACAUAUGUGUAAGUAACUGUGCACAUCUUGACGGUACCUAAUCAGAAAGCCACGGCUAACUACGUG